AUUGAACGCUGGCGGCAUGCCUUACACAUGCAAGUCGAACGGCAGCACGGGAGCAAUCCUGGUGGCGAGUGGCGAACGGGGUGAGUAAUAUAUCGGAACGUGCCCAGUCGUGGGGGAUAACGUAGCGAAAGCUACGCUAAUACCGCAUACGAUCUAUGGAUGAAAGCGGGGGAUCGCAAGACCUCGCGCGAUUGGAGCGGCCGAUAUCAGAUUAGGUAGUUGGUGAGGUAAAGGCUCGCCAAGCCGACGAUCUGUAGCUGGUCUGAGAGGAGACCAGCACACUGGGACUGAGACACGGCCCAGACUCCUACGGGAGGC
rnacentral:rRNA from 1 species